rnacentral:piRNA from 1 species
UACCAGGUUAGGUGAUCUUCCUCAGAUAUC